GGGGGCGAACUGGCUUCGACGGGGAUAGUGAAGCUUAGGCUGCAUACCGAGGUUCCGCCUGCUCGUAAAACAGGUGGGUUAAACACAGACGCAGACGAUUAUGCGUAUGCUCUAGCCGCUUAAUGACGGCUAGC
rnacentral:tmRNA from 1 species